CAUUGCCGCUUGGGUUUCCUCUUAGUCUUUCCGGCUUCGCUUUUCUGCUAUCUAUAAAUAUGCUGCCAGUGGCCACAAACUGUGGGAUAGUUAAAUACACCACCAAUCAAACCAAGAAAUUUCAACAGGCCAUAUUUAUGGAUGACAAGUGCAAAAUCAAUAUACUUCUAAUGUCGAAUCAAACCUAAGGAACUGUUGAAGGCACCACAGGCCACAGGAAAAGUGUGAGCUAUGGCGAUGUGUGAGCUUAUGAUCCUGCUGUUAAUGUUAUAAGUUGCCAGUAAACAUAUCUUGUGAAUUUGAGCACUUAAGAUUUUGAUCAGUUAUGCAAUACUACUGCAAGCAACUAACUAUUGAAAUAUAAUUACUUUUCUUGUUGUCAAGAGAAACCAGUGUCAUCUAAUUAUCUUUAAGUUUUCCAAAAAGUGAACUUGGUAGUCUCUGCACAAGAGAUCAUUCCAGCAUACAUUGUCACUAUAUCUUUAUUUACAA